rnacentral:rRNA from 1 species
AUUGAACGCUGGCGGUAUGCCUUACACAUGCAAGUCGAACGGUAGAGGGGCAACCCUUGAGAGUGGCGAACGGGUGAGUAAUAUAUCGGAACGUGCCCAGUCGUGGGGGAUAACGUAGCGAAAGCUACGCUAAUACCGCAUACGACCUGAGGGUGAAAGCGGGGGAUCGCAAGACCUCGCGCGAUUGGAGCGGCCGAUGGCAGAUUAGGUAGUUGGUGGGGUAAAGGCCUACCAAGCCUGCGAUCUGUAGCUGGUCUGAGAGGACGACCAGCCACACUGGGACUGAGACACGGCCCAGACUCCUACGGGAGGCAGCAGUGGGGAAUUUUGGACAAUGGGCGAAAGCCUGAUCCAGCCAUACCGCGUGCGGGAAGAAGGCCUUCGGGUUGUAAACCGCUUUUGUCAGGGAAGAAAUCUUCUGGGUUAAUACCUCGGGAGGAUGACCGUACCUGAAGAAUAAGCACCGGCUAACUACGUGCCAGCCGCCGCCGUAA